rnacentral:rRNA from 1 species
UACGUAGGGUGCAAGCGUUGUCCGGAAUUAUUGGGCGUAAAGAGCUCGUAGGCGGUCUGUCGCGUCGGCUGUGAAAUCCCGGAGCUCAACUCCGGGUCUGCAGUCGAUACGGGCAAACUGGAGUACUGCAGGGGAGACUGGAAUUCCUGGUGUGGCGGUGAAAUGCGCAGAUAUCAGGAGGAACACCGGUGGCGAAGGCGGGUCUCUGGGCAGUAACUGACGCUGAGGAGCGAAAGCGUGGGGAGCGAACAGG